AGGACGAACGCUGGCGGCGUGCUUAACACAUGCAAGUCGAGCGGAAAGGCCCUUCGGGGUACUCGAGCGGCGAACGGGUGAGUAACACGUGAGCAACCUGCCCCUGGCUCUGGGAUAGCCUCCGGAAACGGGGAUUAAUACCGGACAUGACCUGGGACUGCAUGGUUCUGGGUGGAAAGUUUUUCGGCCAGGGUGGGCUCGCGGCCUAUCAGCUUGUUGGGGGGGUGACGGCCCACCAAGGCGACGACGGGUAGCCGGCCUGAGAGGGCGACCGGCCACACUGGGACUGAGACACGGCCCAGACUCCUACGGGAGGCAGCAGUGGGGAAUAUUGCGCAAUGGGGCGGAAGCCUGACGCAGCGACGCCGCGUGCGGGAUGAAGGCCUUCGGGUUGUAAACCGCUUUCACCGCAGACGAAGCGAGAGUGACGGUAUGGCGGGGAAGAAGCGCCGGCUAACUACGUGCCAGCAGCCGC
rnacentral:rRNA from 1 species